UACGUAGGGUGCGAGCGUUGCCCGGAUUUAUUGGGCGUAAAGGGCGCGUAGGCGGUCACGCACGUCCGUUGUGAAAUCGCUCGGCUCAACUGGGCGGGGUCAGCGGAUACGGCGUGGCUGGAGCAAGCUAGGGGGCAAUGGAAUUCCCGGUGUAGUGGUGGAAUGCGUAGAUAUCGGGAGGAACACCAGUGGCGAAGGCGGUUGCCUGGAGCUUUGCUGACGCUGAUGCGCGAAAGCGUGGGGAGCGAACGGG
rnacentral:rRNA from 1 species